GACGAACGCUGGCGGCGUGCUUAACACAUGCAAGUCGAGCGGUAAGGCCCUUUCGGGGGUACACGAGCGGCGAACGGGUGAGUAACACGUGGGUGACCUGCCCUCAGCUCUGGGAUAAGCCUGGGAAACUGGGUCUAAUACUGGAUAUGACUCUACGGUGCAUGUCGUGGGGUGGAAAGCCUUGUGCGGCUGAGGAUGGGCCCGCGGCCUAUCAGCUUGUUGGUGGGGUGAUGGCCUACCAAGGCGACGACGGGUAGCCGGCCUGAGAGGGCGACCGGCCACACUGGGACUGAGACACGGCCCAG
rnacentral:rRNA from 1 species